AGAGUUUGAUCUUGGCUCAGAAUGAACGUUGGCGGCGUGGAUUAGGCAUGCAAGUCGAGCGGCAAGGUUUUUUAUCUUCGGAUUUUGAACCCUAGAGCGGCGAAAGGGAUAGGAACGUAUAGAUACAUGCCUCUUAGCUCAGGAUAGCGUCUGGAAACGGGCGAUAAUACUGAAUGAGGUCUCCGGACCAAAGGUGCGAUUCCGCUAGGAGAUUGGUCUAUAUCCUAUUAGCUAGUUGGUAAGGUAACGGCUUACCAAGGCGAUGAUGGGUACGGGGCGUGAGAGCGUGACCCCGAUCACUGGGACUGAGACACUGCCCAGACGCCUACGGGCGGCUGCAGUCGAGAAUCUUCGGCAAUGGACGAAAGUCUGACCGAGCGACGCCGCGUGUAUGAUGAAGGUCUUCGGAUUGUAAAGUACUGUCGAUAGGGCGGAAAUUUACGGUGGCCAUCCAUCGUAUUUGACCUAUCUUUUGAGGAAGGACGGGCUAAGUUCGUGCCAGCAGCCGCGGUAAGACGAACUGUUCUAACGUUAUUCGGAAUCACUGGGCUUAAAGGGCGCGUAGGCGGUUUUUUAAGCGGGGUCUGAAAUCCCUCGGCUCAACCGAGGAACUGGGCUUCGAACUGGAGAACUAGAGUGAAGUAGGGGUAAGCGGAACUUGCGGUGGAGCGGUGAAAUGCUUUGAUAUCGCAAGGAACACCGGUGGCGAAGGCGGCUUACUGGGCCGUAACUGACGCUGAGGCGCGAAAGCGUGGGGAGCGAACAGGAUUAGAUACCCUGGUAGUCCACACUGUAAACGAUGAAUACUAGGUGUAGGUUAUAUCAUGUAAUCUGUGCCGUCGCAAACGCAAUAAGUAUUCCACCUGGGGAGUACGGCCGCAAGGUUGAAACUCAAAGGAAUUGACGGGGGCCCGCACAAGCAGUGGAGUAUGUGGUUUAAUUCGAAGCAACGCGAAGAACCUUACCAGGGCUUGACAUAUACAGGAAUAUAUAAGAGAUUAUAUAGUUCUUCGGAACCUGUAUACAGGUGGUGCAUGGUUGUCGUCAGCUCGUGUCGUGAGAUGUUGGGUUAAGUCCCGCAACGAGCGCAACCCUUAUGAUCAGUUACUAACGCGUAGAGGCGAGGACUCUGAUGAGACUGCCGGGGAUAACUCGGAGGAAGGUGGGGACGACGUCAAAUCAUCAUGCCCCUUAUGACCUGGGCUACAAACGUGCUACAAUGGCGGCUACAAAGAGGAGCGAGCAUGUAAGUGUAAGCGGAUCUCAAAAAAGCCGUCCCAGUUCGGAUUGUGGGCUGCAACCCGCCCACAUGAAGUUGGAUUCGCUAGUAAUCGCGCAUCAGCCAUGACGCGGUGAAUACGUUCCCGGGC
rnacentral:rRNA from 1 species